AGCGUAUGCAGUGAGAAGCUGGCUACAUGACGAUCAUGGCGCAUCCUUCCUCCCUCGCUCUCGCGGUGGCGGUGCUGGCAAUCAUCUGCUGUUUCAUGCCACGCUCAACGACGGCAAUCCGAGUUGUUCCCGACGGACUCCAUGGGCCGCAAAAUUUCCCUCCGUCGCCGCGUCCCAAUUAUUCGCCGCAUGGGGAACCCUACACGGGACGGCCGUGCGAGCACUAUUAUGGCUGCAGAACGGUUCCUGAACCACCUCCACAGGCGACAUCCCCGCCGACUCCACGCCGCAAGACCAUGCAAGUUGUGGCGAACACAUGAAUCACCGUUAUAUGCAGCGAUGGCGACGCUGCGAUAUGAUUACGAGUUCUAGAAUUAUUUUAUGUGGCAACGAUCGAGCUGAUUGAUGUGGUUGACGCCACAAUUCAGUGGAAGUUGACGCCGGAUGCAUUCAUGCUACACAAAUAUUUUGCAACCGCACUAAUAUAUGUGCGAUGACAAAUUUCUGCUGAGGAAGUUCACUGAAAAAAAUAUGUCUUGUAAACUAGCAAACCCGGGGAAUUAUAGUGUUUAUUCGCUGCCCAA